rnacentral:rRNA from 1 species
AUACGUAGGUGGCGAGCGUUGUCCGGAAUUACUGGGUGUAAAGGGCGCGUAGGCGGGGAUGUAAGUCAGAUGUGAAACUCCGGGGCUUAACCUCGGAAGUGCAUCUGAAACUAUAUCUCUUGAGUGCUGGAGAGGGAAGCGGAAUUCCUAGUGUAGCGGUGAAAUGCGUAGAUAUUAGGAGGAACACCAGUGGCGAAGGCGGCUUUCUGGACAGUAACUGACGCUGAGGCGCGAAAGCGUGGGGAGCAAACAGGAUUAGAUACCCUGGUAGUCCACGCCGUAAACGAUGGAUACUAGGUGUAGGGGGUAAUUAAACUCUCUGUGCCGGAGUUAACACAAUAAGUAUCCCACCUAGGGAGUACGGCCGCAAGGUUGAA